GAAGGUCUAAGAAUUCUACCACGUGUGAUUUAGAAAAAUUUGCAUAAGCCCCGCCCCUUAUUCAUGAGAUUUUACGAGAUAUAGGUAUUUCGGUAAUUAACAAACAUCUACCAAAAUGAAUAUGAUUAAUUAUUGGGUUUGAAUGGUUCAAGAAAGGUGUACUGAAAUAAAAUCAUAAACUAUUCUUUAUAUCUCACGAAAUCAUGAAAUUCCUAAGUCGUCUGAUGACGUGUCAAGGCUGACUACGUCACAUCGGCGCUUGCAGCUGUGAUCAAAAUAAACAUGUGGAAUUCAGUGAUACAUCUCGGAAUUUAACUCGUUUACAACCAGCGUGGACAGAUAUCGGCAUAGGAUUCAACUGAACAAGGGUCACUUACAAAUGUAGGCAGUAGAUGGUCCACUGAAAACACUUGUUGGGAUGUUGAUAAAAAGUAUUGGUUUUCUGAUCAACUGGACUACCUCCUAAUAUCAAAAAGACAGAAGAGAAGAACAUGUAGUGUGCAAGAAGAAUUGUCAAUUUCCAUAAAUUCCACAUUAUGACUGAAAAAUACUAAAAAUCAGAAAACACUAGUCGUGUUGAACAGUUUGUCACAGAAAAGCAAUCUCUAUAGUAUUUGUAAAGUUGAUUAUUAAAAUAAAUUCUUGAUUAUAUUGAUAUAUUGUUUCUUCUUGCUUUCUUUAAUUAGUACUAAAAUAUCAAUUAUAAUACAAGUAAACCUGAUUAUACAUUAAAGGAAUUUAUUCACCAGCAUAGUAACUUAAAUUAUUAUGAAACAUAAAUGUGUAAAUUACAAACUCAUCACUUACACCCCCCCCCCCCAAUAAAGGCAACUGAUGAAAUUAUUUUUUUCCAAUUUCAACAAUUUUGUAAUGAUGAUUGGUGUGAACAGAAACAACAUUUUAACAUUAUUUUAGUGAAAUUCACAGUGUUUAAUUAUUUUAAGAAUGAAAAUUAAAAUCAUGAUCUUAGUCAGUGUUGCGUUUGAAUUUCACGCAAAUGACGCUGAAAGUGAAAUGGGUCAGAUAAAAUGCAGUAGUGCAAGGGCAUACACUUGAUCAAAUAUAUUGAAAAUUUCUAUGUCCUACCAUUGUAUCCCCAUUAUAUCAAAAAGUGCUGGGAGCUGUAUGAAAUCGCUACGCAUUUGAUAUAAAUAAGCGUUAAUUGCGGGAAAUCCCUGUAAAUUGCUGUUCAUACACUGUUUACAUUGAAUUUAAUAAUUGUUCUUUCUUGAAUAUUUUAAGCUCCCAGCACUUUUCGAAAUUUUGAAGGUUCAUUUUACAAGUUAGAAACAGAAAUAACGAUAUUUGUUUAUGUUAUGCCCUUGCACUUUGCAUUUUUUCGUAUUAUUCCUGGUUCAUCUAUUUUUAGCAGUAUCACGUGACAGGGUAUUCCCAAGAGACUCAAAAAUUGCUCAUGCGAUAACAAAUUAUUUUAUUUGUAUAAUCGAUAAAAUAUCACUUUGUUUAACAAUUUUUUGGAGUAGAAUACCAAGAUUGUUCAAAGGCUAACAUUUCAUGUGAUAAAUAUCGCUAUUUUUUUAAGGACGCCCUUAA